rnacentral:rRNA from 1 species
AACCGGUUUCGGCCGGGGAUUAGUGGCGAACGGGUGAGUAACACGUGGGCAAUCUGCCCUGCACUCUGGGACAAGCCCUGGAAACGGGGUCUAAUACCGGAUAUGACAUGGGAUCGCAUGGUCUCGUGUGGAAAGCUCCGGCGGUGCAGGAUGAGCCCGCGGCCUAUCAGCUUGUUGGUGGGGUGAUGGCCUACCAAGGCGACAACGGGUAGCCGGCCUGAGAGGGCGACCGGCCACACUGGGACUGAGACACGGCCCAAACUCCUACGGGAGGCAGCAGUGGGGAAUAUUGC